rnacentral:lncRNA from 1 species
CUUUUACAAUGUAGUUAAUACCUGCCAUACAUUGAGAGCAACUACACAAAGAUGAUGACACUGGCGGUAUAUGAAAUCUUUGGCCAAAGAUCAUCAUAAAACUUUCCAAUUAGAUCAACAAAAUAAAAUAAAAUAUCUAGAGCUAAAUCUAGUGAAAAAAAAAAUUAAUGGAUAAAAUAUUAACAUGGAAAGCAAUAUCAAUACCACUACUCUAGUAGAACAUGAAUUUGUAGAUGCAAACAGUUAGACAAAUGACCACAGGAGAAGGGUUUUCUAAUAGGGGUGGGCACAGGCCAGGUUGGGCCCAAAUUUGUAGGAACUGGACUUGACCCAUUUUAAAAUGCAACGGGGCAGGCCAAGCCGGGUAUAUGAAUUUUGAGAUUUGGAACCGGACCUAACCCGGCCCGUUUUAAACGGACCGAUUCGGGCUGAGUCCACGGGUCCAAUUUACUUUUCUUUUUUUUUAUAUAAGAAUAGGUUGUUUGGAUUGUGUAUAGAAAAUCUGUAUCAUCUACUUUAUAAAUAUUUGCUCGAGUACAGACUAUUGCAUUAAAAGAGAAAUUACAGGCUAACUUAGCGACUAUAUAAAUCAUUUGAACAUAUAGAAUAACAGCCUUCUCCCAGUUCUCAUCAAGUUCUAAACAAUGAGAAAGGCUCUGCUGUUAGUACAAGGCGUUCACAGCCUUCUCCCUGUUCUCAGAGGGGUGAAAUACAUAUUUCCUUGCCAAUAGUUACAAAUAAAAGCUUAUAAAGAGGAGUUUACAUUCAAAUCCAAUUUGCAUGAAAUGGUCAUAGUUAAAACUUAAAAGGGAUUUUGAAUACCUACUCCUGAUCAUAUUGCAUCUCAACGUCAAAUUGGGGAUUUCGAAUCGAUUAAAUUUCAGAACUUGAAUCAAGUGGACUUGCAUAUUAUCAGAGAUUGUUGGUCCACAAUGAAACUAAAUGCGGCUGUGUAACUUAAUUGACUGGAAUUACAAAAUUCUCCACUAAAUUUUCUCAUCGACCAACAAUUAUCUAAUUACAUUACUUGGAUUUACAGAAACGUUCCACCAAUCAACCAAACAUAAUCUAAAUAAAAAUACCAAAAUCUGAAACAGAAGAUUCAAAUAUAUACAAGGCGGAAACUAUCACAGGACACACAUAUAUUCAAAUUCAAUUUAAUUCAACAGAAGAUUCAAAUUCAAUUCACCUAAGAUUUGAAAUUCGAACAGAACAGAGGUCAAGAUUCAAGAACCCAACAAAAUCCCUAAAUCUAGUGCACCAUUAAUAUCUCCCGUUCGAGCACAACAAUUUUGGUUAUGUUAAUCAGAGCAUCAGCAUGUGCGGCUUUCAUUCGGUAAUCUUAGGAAGGCAAAUUUAUGAACCUUCCAAUUCAUAUAAGGCAAAUUUAUAGAUUUGGUUUGGGGUUUUCUUGAAAUCCCAUAUGAUUACUGAAUGCAGAGACUCAGAGAUUGCUGAGUCAAAAAGGGCAUAUAUCUAGAAAACCCUAAAUCCCUAAAUCUAAAAAAUUAAUCAGAGAGAAUCAGAGAUUGCAGAAUGCAGAGACUCCAAAGAGUAAAGAUUUAAGAAAAUAUACUACCUUAAUUUGGGAGGACAUGAGAUGAAGGUGGUCAAUUUCGAUUUGCAGGAUGAUGGUGGUGUUCCAGAUGGCGAUGAUGGGGUAGUCGCGAUUGGGACGAGGCGGCGGUGAUGUGGUUGGUGAUGGUGGUCGUACCUCGCAAGUCGCCAGAGAGGGAGAGACAGAGAUGGAGAAUUGGCGAUGGCUGCUGUCAAGGAGGAGAGGAAGGUUUCUGUCUGAGAUGAGACUCGGUAAGGAAAAAAAUCCAAUCGAAUGGUGGAGAAGUGUGGAGCUGCG